GGGUGCUUUGCCACAAUAUAAUUUAUGUUAAGCUGAACCACUCUCACUGUCACCACAUAAGUCAGAACAUUGCUCACAAAUUGUAUUACUGUUUUUCAGAAAUUAUUGUAAUUUGCUUCAAAUACAAUGAAGUCUUCACAGCUCGUUAUCCUGGUCGUGUUUGGAUUCUUGAUUUCUUUCGAAGGAAGCAAUGCCGCCUGUAAUUUUGAACGCCCAUUCACAUUCCCGGAAGGAUACAAAUGUCGCGUUGGAAUUGGAAGACUGGUAUUUCAAACGGACGGCAACUUUGUCAUAUAUGAUGGCAAUAAUUUAGCAAAAUGGAACUCUGGGACGACUGGUGUCGGUCACCUUGCUGUAUUUCAAGGCGAUGGGAACUUUGUAAUUUAUGAUGUCGCGGGUAAACCUCGUUUCCACACUGGAACGCACGGCUCCGGAUUUCGAAUGGUGUUUCAGGAUGAUCGCAACUUGGUAAUUUAUGACAAAGCUUCAAAACCAGUGUGGUGGUCGGGGAACUUGUAAAUAUGAUGUAUAAAAUUAUUUACAUACAUAUGUACGUGACGCGUGUUUAACUGAGGAUAAUGAGUACAUAUUUAUAUUAAAUUCUUCUAAUCAAAUAUGUAAACUGAUAUCAACUUGACAAUUUACGAUAAAAUAGCUUGUAAUGUAGACUGAAACUAAAAAAAACGCAAUAUUUUUUUUACAUUGGAGUAAGUAUGGAGUAUGAAUUAUACAAUUUAUUCCGUGUAUGUACAUAUUAUUUAUGAAUUUUUUCAAUAAAUUGCUGAUUAAGACCGAAUACAGUGCUCCACAACAC